GACGAACGCUGGCGGCGUGCUUAACACAUGCAAGUCGCACGGUGAAAGCGGAGCUUGCUCCGCUGGAUCAGUGGCGAACGGGUGAGUAACACGUGGGCAACCUGCCCCUGACUUCGGGAUAACUCCUCGAAAGAGGUGCUAAUACCGGAUACGAAUCCUGCAGGCAUCUGCGGGAUUGGAAAGUUUUUCGGUCAGGGAUGGGCCCGCGGCCUAUCAGCUUGUUGGUGAGGGAGUGGCUCACCAAGGCGACGACGGGUAGCCGACCUGAGAGGGGGGCCGGCCAGAAUGGGACUGAGACACAGCCCAGACUCCUACGGGAGGGAGCAGUGGGGAAUAUUGCGCAAUGGGCGAAAGCCUGACGCAGCAACGCCGCGUGAGGGAUGACGGCCUUCGGGUUGUAAACCUCUUUCAGCAGGGAAGAAGCGAAAGUGACGGUACCUGCAGAAGAAGCACCGGCUAACUACGUGCCAGCCGCCGCGGUAA
rnacentral:rRNA from 1 species